CUGCAGGAGAUGCAGUCUCCACGGAGAGCAGGGCAGCAGGUUCACCUCCUAUCUCCCAGGAAAUGCACCUGGCUUCACUUUCCUCUCGUAAGUACUUGCAUAGCAUUGUUAGAUAAAUGUUAUGUGUGUGUGUGUGUGUGUGUGUGUGUGCGUGCACAUUUAAACACACACACGUAUGUGAUUUUACUGUAUAUGAAGUUAAUUUAUCACAUACAUGUAUUUCAGACCAUCCGCAACUAGUCUACGUUCCUUCACCACGUACGAGUGUGGUUUCCCUCCAACAGCCGGCCACUGGUGUCCAGGAACAGGGAUCCACUGCUGAGCGUAAGUAAAAAAUGCUUUAUCUAUACACAUUUUCUUUGCAGGCAUACUAGUUUAUGUAACAGGCAGGGCCGGGUCGACCGCUAAGUAUACUAAGCGUCUGCCUAGCACACACUGGCCAGGGGGCUCAAUGUCUGGGUGACCAGCAGGGGUGAGCUCACAUCGCUACUCUCCUUCUGUUCACUUUAUGUACUGUGGCUGAGUGGACCACGUGUGAUCUUAUCUACCAUCUACUUGGCCUGACAGGAAGCUGAGUGCAACGAUCAGCUUCCUUUCAUGCAGAAGAAACAGGAGAUUCUCUACCUGGGGACACUCUGUCACGAUACAUGUAGUGAGAUUAGAAGGAAAGGGAGGUGGGCACAAAAACAUGCAUUGAGAGGUCACAAAGACAGAGAAAGGGCUAGGGGGGACAAAGAUGCAUAACUAUACUUCGACAUAAUAAAUUAAUAGCAUGACUGCAUAUAUCUUAUUUCCAAGUUUAAAUAAUAUUGUUGUACAGAUAAUAGUAAGCAUUGCAACAUAUGACACAUGCUAACAAUGUUCUUUCUCUGUUCUCCCCUAUAGGUUCUGAUGGUACUCUCCCCCUGCAAGAGGAUCCUGAUUCAGUGACAUCAGUGGCCGAAGAAAUGCAGUUGCUACAACUUCCUCCACCGUUGGCUGCGCUGUAUGCGACGAUCCAGGCUCGUCAAGCUGAACUGGAGACGUCCAUACAGCAGGAUAAGGAGAAUCAGCGAGAACUAUUGCAGAAUGUAAUAACCAAG